AACGAACGCUGGCGGCAUGCCUUACACAUGCAAGUCGAACGGUAACAGGUCUUCGGAUGCUGACGAGUGGCGAACGGGUGAGUAAUACAUCGGAACGUGCCUAGUAGUGGGGGAUAACUACUCGAAAGAGUGGCUAAUACCGCAUGAGAUCUACGGAUGAAAGCAGGGGAUCGCAAGACCUUGUGCUACUAGAGCGGCCGAUGGCAGAUUAGGUAGUUGGUGGGAUAAAAGCUUACCAAGCCGACGAUCUGUAGCUGGUCUGAGAGGACGAUCAGCCACACUGGGACUGAGACACGGCCCAGACUCCUACGGGAGGCAGCAGUGGGGAAUUUUGGACAAUGGGCGAAAGCCUGAUCCAGCAAUGCCGCGUGCAGGAUGAAGGCCUUCGGGUUGUAAACUGCUUUUGUACGGAACGAAAAGCCCCGGGUUAAUACCCUGGGGUCAUGACGGUACCGUAAGAAUAAGCACCGGCUAACUACGUGCCAGCCGCCGCGGUAAUAC
rnacentral:rRNA from 1 species